UAAGAGGCACGGCCGGUAUCGAAUGAGCUCUUCCUGUCUCCGAACUGUAAGGGCCGUACGCCCAGUCCCACUACAACGACCGAAAGUCUCCGAACUGUGUCAUUUGAAAAUCGUAGUCUUGUGUGUUUAGUCUAAUUAUUAAUACUAAGAUGGAUACCGUUAUGCCUGAAAUUUUCUUCAAGGCCUUCAUCCAAAGACUUAGUUUUGUUCUCAAGAUCUUCAAACAAUAAGUUUAUUACCAAUAUUUUGAUGCUCGUUUAUAGAUGACUUUUCUCUUGAUUUAAAAAUCCAAGAAGCUACCGUGAUUUCCUUGAAAUUGAUGUUUGAUACUCUACCACACGAAGUAACUAAUGCUAGUUUGAAAGAAUAUACCUAGCAGCAGAAUACUGAUUAUGACUUUACAGCUUGAUACUCUACUACAGAUAGUUAAUAAUGCUAGAUUAAAAGCGGCAGAAUACUGAUUAUGACUUUAAGGUUUAUAGAUGGGCUUUGUACUGGACACUUCAACGGACACUGUACUGGACACUUUAACACUUUGCCAAGAGCUCCAUUUCUGACCUAUUUUCCAUGAGAAACAUUUGUGCCAAGAUGUCCUCAAUUACUAACACAGUUGCCAAGAUAACCAUGUGUGCAAGGAUUACUGACCUAGUUGCCAAGAUGAUCCCAAUAAAUGACCUAGUUGCCAUGAGGACCAUGUGUGGCAAGAUGACUUACUUAAGUUGCCUAGUUGUCAUGACCCAACUGUAGAGUUAAACCAACUUUAUUUCUUCAACUCAAGGUUUAUUUUUAUGUUCUUCUCUAAUAUGAAAAUUCCACACUUGUAUUUUAUGAAUAUUGUAAUUUAUUUUUUCUCCUAAAAAUUAAGCUACAUACUUUUUAAUGGAACUUAAGAAAUCUAAAUCCAUAUUUUGAAAUACCUUGCAUGCAAUUUAAGAGUACUCAGUAUUAAAGUAAAUUUAUUUCUAAGAUUUUCUUAAAUACGAAAAAUAAUUAAUCAUAUUAAUCUAAAGUUUAUUCUAUUCAACAUUUUAUUCAUGGAUUAUUUUAAUAGUCAAUUAUUUAUUCAUUAAAUAUCAUAAAUUAAAUUUAAAGUCUUAGAGAACGUGCAUCUAAUUUGCGUACACUAAGUACUUAUUGAUCCUGCUUAGUGUUUGUACGUACAAUUGCGUGUCAAAACGUUUUAAGAAAAGCUUAUUGUUAGCUACUGCUCUUUAUAAAUUAUGACUUAAUGUCUUAAAAAUAAACCUAGAAUAUUUAUGAGAAUUAACUUUCAACGAAUGAAAACUAAUUUCGAUUUAUUGGUGCUUUGUCUUCAAACUGUUGUCCAGUACAAGAGCUAAAAUGUGAAGUUGUAAUAUUAAAAAAUUGAUUGUUUGAGAGUGCCAGUUUAAAUUUGAAAUGAAAAUUAAAUUACGGGAAUUAAACUAAAGUACUUGGCGUUCGAUUUUCAAACAAAACAUAUUUAAAUUAAAAAAGCUUAAUAUAAAAUUUUAUUAUGGUAUACUACUAAUUAAAUAUUCUUUUUCAAUAAAUCUCCACCAAAUUUUCAGAUGCGUGAUUGUUAUCGCAAUAUUUGAGAAUCAGUUGAAGUAAAUUUGCUAGUUUCAAAAUGAUAUCUACGAUUUUAAAUACACGCAAUAUAAGAGUUUAGGUCAAACUUUAGAUAAAAUUAUAUGGUAAUAUAUUACAUGGUUAUAAAAUUUAUAUCGAAUCUAUAAGUGAUCGCUCAACUUCGUCGGCUAUUAAAAUAUACUAAAUAAACUCUUAAACUUAUAUCAAUGUAAAUUUCAAGAGUACAAGGAAAAACCGAAAUAGUUUAUUAAAUACACAAUCUUUAAAAUUAGAAAGCUGAAAAGUAUUUGAGGUAUCGAGAUGCUUGUAAACCAAAGAACUAAAGCAUUCAAUAUCGCAUAUUUAGGUUUACCUAAAUAAAGCGCAUUGUAUUAAUAAAAUACUUUUUAAUAAAUCCCGCCUCGUCAGCAAUGUACUGUUAUAAAGUACAAAUUUUAAUACUUGAGGUAACACAUUCUGUUCCAAAUAUAUAAAAAAAUUAUCUGACAAUUCAGAAUCUGUUUGUAAGUACCGCUUACAUUAUUUAAAACCCUUAAAGCUUAAGACUAGCAAUUACGUGUCAUAGCACUACAUUUUAACAUUUCUUUUCGCCUUAUAGUGAGCCUUAAUAAAAACAGUAAAUGGUGUAUAUUUAACAUGUUAAUACUUCACACUUUAGUCUGUCGUCGUAUUUUUAUGUACGUAUUUAUAAAUAUAAAUUCCUCUACACAAAGAAAUUUGUCAAGCAUUUAUGUAGUAUAUAUGGGCAAUAACAAUUAUACGUAUUCUAUUAAAUUAAAAAAUUAAUCUCUAUAUCAAAAGUCCAAGAACAAAAUUGUUAAAAAUUUAAAAAUAAAAACUAAACAAUCAAGUUAUUGUUCAGAAGUAUACGUUUAGGCAAAAAAUUUUCGUAUUUUGUCAC